rnacentral:rRNA from 1 species
UACAGAGGCCACGAGCGUUAAUCGGAAUUACUGGGCGUAAAGCGUGCGCAGGCGGUUAUGUAAGACAGAUGUGAAAUGCCCGGGCUUAACCUGGGAACUGCAUUUGUGACUGCAUGGCUAGAGUUUGGCAGAGGGGGGUAGAAUUCCACGUGUAGCAGUGAAAUGCGUAGAUAUGUGGAGGAACACCGAUGGCGAAGGCAAUCCCCUGGGCCUGCACUGACGCUCAUGCACGAAAGCGUGGGGAGCAAACAGG